rnacentral:rRNA from 1 species
AAUCUUCCGCAAUGGGCGAAAGCCUGACGGAGCAACGCCGCGUGAGUGAUGAAGGGUUUCGGCUCGUAAAACUCUGUUAUUAGGGAAGAACAAAUGUGCAAGUAACUGUGCACAUCUUGACGGUACCUAAUCAGCAAGCCACGGCUAACUACGUGCCAGCAGCCGCGGUAACACGUAGGUGGCAAGCGUUAUCCGGAAUUAUUGGGCGUAAAGCGCGCGUAGGCGGUUUCUUAAGUCUGAUGUGAAAGCCCACGGCUCAACCGUGGAGGGUCAUUGGAAACUGGGGAACUUGAGUGCAGAAGAGGAAAGUGGAAUUCCAUGUGUAGCGGUGAAAUGCGCAGAGAUAUGGAGGAACACCAGUGGCGAAGGCGACUUGCUGGUCUGUAACUGACGCUGAUGUGCGAAAGCGUGGGGAGCAAACA